rnacentral:rRNA from 1 species
CACGCCGUAAACGAUGAAUACUAGGUGUAGGGGGUAUCGACUCCCUCUGUGCCGCAGCUAACGCAAUAAGUAUUCCACCUGGGGAGUACGGCCGCAAGGUUGAAACUCAAAGGAAUUGACGGGGGCCCGCACAAGCAGUGGAUUAUGUGGUUUAAUUCGAAGCAACGCGAAGAACCUUACCAGGGCUUGACAUCCUCUGAACUCUCUAGAGAUAGAGCUUCCCUUCGGGGCAGAGAGACAGGUGG